rnacentral:rRNA from 1 species
AUUGAACGCUGGCGGCAUGCUUUACACAUGCAAGUCGAACGGCAGCGCGGGGGCAACCCUGGCGGCGAGUGGCGAACGGGUGAGUAAUGCAUCGGAACGUAUCCUGUAAUGGGGGAUAACGUAGCGAAAGUUACGCUAAUACCGCAUACGCUCGAGAGAGGAAAGUGGGGGAUCGCAAGACCUCACGUUAUAGGAGCGGCCGAUGUCCGAUUAGCUAGUUGGUGGGGUAAAGGCCUACCAAGGCGACGAUCGGUAGCUGGUCUGAGAGGAUGAUCAGCCACACUGGGACUGAGACACGGCCCAGACUCCUACGGGAGGCAGCAGUGGGGAAUUUUGGGACAAUGGGCGAAAGCCUGAUCCAGCCAUGCCGCGUGCGGGAAGAAGGCCUCGGUU